GUCAUCGUAGAAAAGUACUACAUGUGCCUGGGCAAUGACUUCCACACAAACAAGUGUGUGUGAGGAGAUCCCCAUUAUCCUCAGCAAGAAGCUCCACAACAGGAGAGCAGGCUGCGUCACGCAUCUGACGAACCAGAUUCAGAGAGGUCCAGUGAGAGGUAUCUCCAUCAAGCUACAGGAGGAGGAGAAAGAAAGGAGGGACAAUUAUGUCCCCAAGGUCUCAGCCCUGGAUCAGGAGAUCAUCGAAGUAGAUCCUGACACUAAGGAAAUGCUGAAGCUUUUGGACUUUGGCAGCCUGUCCAACCUGCAGGUCACUCGGCCUACAGUUGGGAUGAAUUUCAAAAUGCCUCGUGGAGCUGUUUGA
rnacentral:lncRNA from 1 species